GAUAAACGCUGGCGGCGUGCCUAAAACAUGCAAGUCGGACGGGCCAUCGCUUUCGGGCGGUGGCCAGUGGCGGACGGCUGAGUAACACGUGGGUGACCUGCCUCCAUGCGGGGGACAACCGCCCGAAAGGGUGGCUAAUACCGCAAAUCUCGUCCGUUCGGUUGGAUGAGUGAACUUCUACGGAGGGUGUGGAGAGGGGCCCGCGGCCGAUUAGCUGGCUGGUGGGGUGACGGCCUACCAGGGGCGACGAUCGGUAGCUGGUCUGAGAGGAUGAUCAGCCAGACUGGGACUGCGACACGGCCCAGACUCCUACGGGAGGCAGCAGUUAGGAAUUUUGGGCAAUGGGGGCAACCCUGACCCAGCAACGCCGCGUGGGUGACGAAGGCC
rnacentral:rRNA from 1 species